rnacentral:antisense_RNA from 1 species
CUUGAGCGAGCCGAGCAGCAGCGGGCGGUCCUGCGCGCGGCCCUGCCCGUAGGUGGCGAGGAGCGCCUGGGCCUC